CAGCUCGUUGCUAGGCUAACAACAGGCCCAGAUGUGGCUUGUUUGCUAAUUAGUCCCAAAAGUGUCCAGUAAGUCCAGUUUAAUGUAGAGGGAAAUCAAUUUAUAGUGAGUAGAAACAAGUAAUGAACAUUUUCUACCAAGCGUCAAGAAUUAUUUUUUAAAUUAACAGCUAGCUAGAGGAUGCAAAUGCUAACAGUCAAAUAAAAUCUUUCUUUUCCCCAAAACUGCUAGCUUCCAAUAGAGGACCUGGACAGGAUGAAAUAAGUGUGAGGCCAGGAGUGAAACCAGGAUUACCCUUUAGCUGUAACUUAACAACAAGCUACAGAAAGAUGAGAUUGCUGCUUUAUUCAACGCAGUCUCACCCCACACCUUUAACUUCACAACUAAAUGUGCCAAAUGUAACCUUAUCUUGCUGUCGUCUGUUUACUGCCAGGGAGGUGGCAUACAAUGGUUUUAUCAGACUUUGUAUUAGCUAAUGAUUAAAGUAGGUAACAACAGUGGUACACAUGGAAGAAAUCUUCAAUUCUUUCCAAUUUCCUUCAUUUACUGCCCUAUCAUACCCGUCAGAGCACAAGAGAUAAGUCCUGGGAACUUGGUCUCAUUCAGUCAUGUUUUCUGAACUUAAGGCAAUGUUAUCAUCAACCCUUCACUCUUUUCCUCGUGGAAUGAGCCGUUUUGAUCUACAGAGGGAACGGGUCCUCUUCAACGGAGGCCGACAUGUUGGACCGCCAUGUUUCUACAGUAACCCAGAAUGGACGAACCAAACACUGGGUCCAGGUAGGGUCUUUUGUGUUUUAUGGUCACUGUAGUUUCUCCUACAUGCUUGAAAGGCUGAGCUGUAUUCAAAUUGUUGCAAUCUGUAACUUCACUGCUAGAUUCCUACACUGAAUCCUGCACACUGGCCCUUUAAUUAAUUAAUUAAAUUU
rnacentral:lncRNA from 15 species